rnacentral:rRNA from 1 species
UACAGAGGUCUCAAGCGUUGUUCGGAUUCAUUGGGCGUAAAGGGUGCGUAGGCGGCGCGGUAAGUCGGGUGUGAAAUUUCGAGGCUUAACUUCGAAACUGCAUUCGAUACUGCCGUGCUUGAGGACUGGAGAGGAGACUGGAAUUUACGGUGUAGCGGUGAAAUGCGCAGAUAUCGGGAAGAACACCCGUGGCGAAGGCGGUUCUCUGGGACGGUACUGACGCUGAGACGCGAAAGCGUGGGGAGCGAACAGG